rnacentral:ncRNA from 1 species
UUUGGGGGGUGCUCCGCAAUGCGGGGCUGAGAUCAUACCCAUGGAAUCUGAACCGGGUAAUACCGGCGUAGAGAACUAAACUAA